GCUUCUAUAGCUCAGUUGGUAGAGCGCGGCACUAGUAGUUGCAGCGUUAACAGCAAUGCCGAGGUCUACGGUUCAACUCCGUAUGGAAGCA